rnacentral:rRNA from 1 species
UACGUAGGUGGCAAGCGUUGUCCGGAAUUAUUGGGCGUAAAGCGCGCGCAGGCGGCCUUUUAAGUCUGAUGUGAAAGCCCACGGCUCAACCGUGGAAGGUCAUUGGAAACUGAAAGGCUUGAGUACAGAAGAGGAAAGCGGAAUUCCACGUGUAGCGGUGAAAUGCGUAGAGAUGUGGAGGAACACCGGUGGCGAAGGCGGUGGUCUGGGCCGGCACUGACGCUGAGGAGCGAAAGCGUGGGGAGCAAACAGG